AUAGCAUGUUAAAUUUGUCACUUUUUGAGGGUGAGCAAAAACGCUCAGUUUUGUGUGUGUCCCUUUAAAUGCAAAUGAGCUGCUGUUCCUAAGCAGAGGGCGGGGUUUCAAGAACUCAUGUUAGCACAUAGUCCUGUUAGCAGCGCCGAUUAGACUCACUGAAAAUGUCAGGAACUGUUCAGCCUUUUAUGUUCAAACCGAAGUCGGACAAUGAUGGAGAGACUCAAGAAGAAGUGACAAUAUGUAGAAUGCAACAGGACAUUUCUGAAUGGAUUUCGGUGAUGAAUGCUUUGUAAACAAGUCUCAGUUCGGCGCUGGAUUUGCAGGUCACGGGUGGUAUAAAGUUGGCACUCCCAUGGAAAUGGAUGAGUGGACUAGGACAUGCAUCGUCUUGAUGUAAACAAGUAGAUGGAUGACUGCAAAAAGUAUCAGCUCAAGCUUCAAGCAAAGCAAUGUAAACAUCUGUGGCCAAGGCCUAGACAGGAAGUUACAGGGAGGUCACAGGAUAUCAGCUGACCCUUGCGGUAGAGGGCUGCUCAGACUUGACAGCUUUUUUUUCUAAAGUGAGAUAGGGGCAGAAUAAACAGGAAGACAUUUACAUCACUUCUGUGUCGUUUUCAAAUCAGGUGCAGUAAGCUUGCAUUGGAAUGGAAAGUGUGCCAGUUCGUAUGACCAUUAUCAGUGGAGUACAGUGGAGGAAAGCAGAUGAUACAGAACAUUUUGUGAAUGAACGCCUCGCAUGGAGUGGAAAUUGGACAUCCUGUGACGCACGUAACACCGCUAAAUUUCCCAAAUUAAUCAGAACGGAAAAUUAAAUGUCAGAUGCGUGCAGUUGAUUAUCUGAAUUAUUAUCUAAAGUACUGGUUUAAAAUAAUUUUGAUCCACGCAGCUGUAUUUUAUUACCUGAUAUUCACCACCACAGUAAUGUUAAUGGGUUGUAUUAUGUUUACAAGAGGCUGUAUGUUCUUGUGCUCUGAUUAUUUGUAAAUGUUGCAUGAGAUUGUCCGAUGUAGAUGAUUUCUACUUUGGGUUGUUGUUUAACAAUGAAAAACAUACCAAUAUUACUCUGCUGUGACAUAAAAGCAGAUGAACUAUGGAAGAUCUUUUGUCUGUACAAGCUGUGAAAUAGUUAUACAGUACAAUGGGAUGAAUAAAAUGGUAACGGUUUCAUUUGUUAACAUUAGUUAACUUCUUUAGGUAACAUGAACUACAACCCGAAUUCUGGAAAAGUUGAGACGUUUUUUAAAUUUGAAU